rnacentral:rRNA from 1 species
CCUACGGGCGGCUGCAGUGGGGAAUAUUGGACAAUGGGCGAAAGCCUGAUCCAGCCAUGCCGCGUGUGUGAAGAAGGCCUUCGGGUUGUAAAGCACUUUCAGUGGGGAAGAAAGCCUUGGGGCUAAUACCCUCGAGGAAGGACAUCACCCACAGAAGAAGCACCGGCUAACUCCGUGCCAGCAGCCGCGGUAAUAUGGAGGGUGCGAGCGUUAAUCGGAAUUACUGGGCGUAAAGCGCGCGUAGGCGGUCUGAUAAGCCGGUUGUGAAAGCCCCGGGCUCAACCUGGGAACGGCAUCCGGAACUGUCAGGCUAGAGUGCAGGAGAGGAAGGUAGAAUUCCCGGUGUAGCGGUGAAAUGCGUAGAGAUCGGGAGGAAUACCAGUGGCGAAGGCGGCCUUCUGGACUGACACUGACGCUGAGGUGCGAAAGCGUGGGUAGCAAACAGGAUUAGAUACCCCAGUAGUC